rnacentral:rRNA from 1 species
GACGAACGCUGGCGGCGUGCUUAACACAUGCAAGUCGAACGAAGCUUGAUUACGGAUUCUUCGGAUGAAGUAUGAUAUGACUGAGUGGCGGACGGGUGAGUAACGCGUGAGUAACCUGCCCUUCAGAGGGGGAUAGCGUUUGGAAACGAACGGUAAUACCGCAUAAUGUAUUUUGACCGCAUGAUCGAAAUACCAAAGAUUUAUCGCUGAAGGAUGGACUCGCGUCUGAUUAGGUAGUUGGUGGGGUAACGGCCUACCAAGCCGACGAUCAGUAGCCGGACUGAGAGGUUGAUCGGCCACAUUGGGACUGAGACACGGCCCAGACUCCUACGGGGGGCAGCAGUGGGGAAGAUUGCACAAUGGGCGCAAGCCUGAUGCAGCAACGCCGCGUGAAGGAAGACGGUUUUCGGAUUGUAAACUUCUGUUCUUAGGGAAGAAUAAUGACGGUAGCUAAGGAGCAAGCCACGGCUAACUACGUG